CCUGCCCAAUGGUUGUAUCUAAAAGCGGUUGAUAAAAGUCGACCGUGUAAGGACAAUUGAAUGGCCGCGGUAACACUGACCGUGAUAAUGUAGCGUAAUCAAUAGCCAAUUAAUUGUUGGCCAGUAUGAAUGGCGCCACGAAGGCCCCACUGUCUUAAGGAAAUUCCCAGUGAAAUUGAAUUCGUAGUGAAGAUGCUACGUCCAAUUUGUUAGACGAAAAGACCCCGUUGAGCUUUACUGGGGCACUUACACGGCCCCGGCCUUCAAAACUGGGUUGAUAAGCCAAGGCUUACCAUACCUAGGGACCGGCCGAAUUUAAAUGGGCGGCUUAGACUAUGUGGCAGCCCCCCCCGUCGGGGCAGAUGAAACCCCACUCCCCCAUGUCAAAGGGGCUAACCCCCCCCCUUGGGGGGGACAGUGUAAGUAGGACAGUUUGGUUGGGGCGACCGCCUUUUAGAGAGUAACGAAGGUGCGCUUAAGGUGCGUAAUUAAUGACUGAAGCCUGACUGCGAGGGGGACACCCCGAGCAGACACCCCCAAGCCCGCCCUCGCCUUCGUACCAACGGAGGGAGGGCGGCGGUGGGGUGG
rnacentral:rRNA from 1 species